UACGAAGGGGGCGAGCGUUGUUCGGAUUUACUGGGCGUAAAGGGCGCGUAGGCGGCGGGUCAAGUCGAGUGUGAAAGCCCCGGGCUCAACCUGGGAGGUGCGCUCGAGACUGGUCUGCUAGAGUUCGGGAGAGGAGGGUGGAAUAGCCAGUGUAGAGGUGAAAUUCGUAGAUAUUGGCUGGGAACACCGGUGGCGGAAAGCGGCUCUCUGGUCCGGAUCUGACGCUGAGGCGCGAAAAGGCGUGGGGGAGCAAAACAGG
rnacentral:rRNA from 1 species